GAGGGAAGCUCUCUGCUCCGUCAGCCUGAUGAUGAAAGCCAAAGACAGAUGAAUCCCACCCUGCCCGUUUUUGUGCGCCCUACCAACCCGCCGUUUUCUGCCUGCCGUACCCCGCCACGCCGCCAGACCCAGCCGUGCGCCGCCGGACCCGGUAAGCACAUGAGAGUCCCCCUGGGCUAAAUUAACCUUACCCAACAAAUCAGGAUAACCAUCAGCAGGACCCCCAGCAUGACUCACAAAUGGGGGAUACAUUUGUUUUGAAUUUAGAGGCACUCGAUCCACCCAUAACACCACCACAUGUGAGUUCGCCUCCAAGAAAACCCACACCUGCACCACAAAUCAGUCCACCAUCACCACAAGUCCAGACACAGGAUCAGCUUUUUUGGAGCACUUGGACAACACAGCAGGCAAAUAACCUGGAUUGUCUGCGUUGACAGACUCAAUUUAUAGGAAGUCUGGCACAUCAUCUACCCAGAAUUAGUCACAAUAUAAGCAGAGAAAAUGUUCAAGUAACUAGAAUUGCAAACACACUUGAAUUAAUGUGAUCAGACAACCCACAUACAGUAUGAUGGACACAUUCCAAAGAAUAAUGGAUGAACAACAGAGACAGCACCAAAACUACCUCCACGUUUUGGAAAGCAACCAAAUGUUACUCCAGAGCAUAAGCCACAUUAUGGAGAGUCACACUGCAGCAACAAGAGACCUCAAUGCGACACUGAGUAACCUGAGCCAGCACAAUACAACACAAGGAGAACAACCAAGCAACAGCUCAGGAACACCAACUCCAUUAAUUUCCCCAGUUACCUCCCCACCAAGGCGCUCAACCAGUACAAGGCAACACGGCACUGGAAAAGGCGCAGCUUCAUCAAAAGGAGCUAAAAAAAUAAACUGUUGUGUGGGAGUUCAUUCUGUUGGAAAAACAAUAACAUGUUAAGUUUAACACUAUGAAGGUCAGAGUAAUUGUCAUAUCUCAUUAUAACAAGGCCAUCUAUACUCUUCUUUACAGUAUGACCAAAACUCAUUAUUACAAGGCCAUCUAUACUCUUCUUUACAAGAACAACAAUUCUCAUUAAGUGAAGGUGAUGUUUUUUCUUUAGAACAAUGCCAUGUUUAAAAAUUAAGACAAGGCCAUGUUUUAGCAUUAUAACAAUGCCAUGUUUUUACAUUAUGUCAAUGUAAUCUUUUCUCUUUAUGUGGUUUUGCUACAACAUUGGGGUUAAUUCCAAGUUGAUCGCAGCAGGAAUUUUGUUAGCAGUUGGGCAAAACCAUGGCCCUCAUUCCGAGUUGUUCGCUCGCAAGCUGCUUUUAGCAGCUUUGCACACGCUAAGCCGCUGCCUACUGGGAGUGAAUCUUAGCAUAGUAAAAUUGCGAACGAAAGAUUCGCAAUAUUGCGAAAAGACUUCUCUGUGCAGUUUCUGAGUAGCUCGAGACUUACUCUGCCAGUGCGAUCAGUUCAGUGCUUGUCGUUCCUGGUUUGACGUCACAAACACACCCAGCGUUCGCCCAGACACUCCCCCGUUUCUCCAGCCACUCCCGCGUUUUUCCCAGAAACGGUAGCGUUUUUUCACACACUCCCAUAAAACGGGCAGUUUCCGCCCAGAAACACCCACUUCCUGUCAAUCACAUUACGAUCACCAGAACGAAGAAAAAACCUCGUAAUGCCGUGAGUAAAAUUCCUAACUGCAUAGCAAAUUUACUUGGCGCAGUCGCACUGCGGACAUUGCGCAUGCUCAUUAGCGACUAAUCGCUCCGUUGAGAGAAAAAAAUAACGAGCGAACAACUCGGAAUGACCCCCCAUGUGCACUGCAGGGGAGGCAGAUUUAACAUGUGCAGAGAGAGUUAGAUUUGGGUGUGGUGUGUUCAAUCUGCAAUCUACUUUGCAGUGUAAAAAUAAAGCAGCCAGUAUUUACCCUGCACAGAAACAAAAUAACCCACUCAAAUCUAACUCUCUCUGCACAUGUUAUAUCUGCCCCCCUGCAGUGCACAUGGUUUUGCCCAACUGCUAACAAAAUUCCUGCUGCGAUCAACUUGGAAUUACCCCCAAUAUGUUGUUUUUUAGCAAGCAGAAUUACAAAGAACAGAGGAAAUGGCAUGUUUUCUUAUUAUGUAGUUUUCCACAAUAAUCAUGCUGGGUUUCCAAAAAAACACACAAACAAUUUUUUUGGGGGGAGUAUUUGUUGGUUCUCUACAUUAUUCUUCCAUUCCCAAAACACAUAACAGUAAAUGUAGCCAACACAUCUCCUAUAUAAUAGCCCUGUGAUUCUGUGCCUGGGUCUCUAACGCUGGGCGUGGCUAGGAGCUCUCAUUGGGUUAGUGGCAGGUCUAUCACACCCAGUACACAGCUGAUUGGGCGAGAAACGCCCUCCCACACAGGUUACAUCCAAUGGGAGGCUCUGCCCUUUGUCUGCUGUGUGGUCACAGAGCACUAUUAGCAAUGGGACUGAUGGAGCUGCAGCUCCAGCCCCACACCCCAAAAUAGGCCCACUGCAUCUGCAGCAUCACACCCUCCAACAAUUUACACAUACACAUUGAUACAAAUUCGAAAAGGGGGUUUGACCACGGGUACAGCGGCGUGGCCACACCCCUUUUCCUAUACUUUCAAUGGAAGCUUGGAGUCAAAAAACGGUACAGACCAUAAAAAAAGGGACUGUACCUGCCAAAAAGGUGCAGCUGGAGGGUAUGCCACUGCAUCUGCAGCAAGUCUCUGCGCUGUAGAUAGGGCGAAAAACAAUCCUUUUACUGCAGCGUCCUAUGGGGGUCAUUCCGAGUUGUUCGCUAGCUGCAUUCGUUCGCUGUGCAGCGAUCAGGCAAAAACUGGGCACUUCCGCGCAUGCAUAUGCAGCGCAAUGUGCACGUGCGGCGUACUAUAACUAUUACAACAAACAAUGUAGUUUUACACAGGGUCUAGCGAUGAUGCUUUUCAGUCGCACAGGCAGCCGCAGAGUGAUUGACAGGAAGUGGGCGUUUCUGGGUGUCAACUGACAGUUUUCAGGGAGUGUUCGGAAAAACGCAGGCGUGGCUGGCCGAACGCAGGGCGUGUUCAUGACGUCAAAUCAGGAACUGAAUGGUCUGAAGUUAUCGCAAGCGCUGAGUAGGUCUGGAGCUACUCUGAAACUGCACAAAAUUUUUUUGUACCCGCUCUCCGAUCCCUUUGUUCCCACUUCUGCUAAGCUAAAAUACACUCCCAGUGGGCGGCGGCAUAGCGUUUGCACGGCUGCUAAAAACUGCUAGCGAGCGAUCAACUCGGAAUGACCACCAAUGUGUUGCUGCCAGUCCACCUGCCCCCUCCGGCAUCAACAAUCCCCACUCCCUAGCCGUGCCGCAGGUGGAACAAAAGCUGCUGCGGCCACCGGCGUAGAUGUGUAUGAAAGUGGCGCAGAGGAAGACUUUCAUAGCCCUCCUUGCACCGCAUACUCUCAGCCCCAGAGCCUCCUCUGCGUGUGAUGUCACAGAAGUGCCUCCCAGCCACAGCCACGCCCAGAUCCCCAGAGGCCCUGACUCCGCAACACAGCACCUGGGCUGCCGGCCUGGAAGCCCCGAGAUGGCUAAUGUAACGGAUAGAGAGGGUGAUAUCGCGGAGGGUAAUGUCUGGACGCUGAAUCAAUAUAAAAGGUGACAGUGCUGUGCAGUGCAGUGGGUGUGCAGUCAGGGCCGUUGCUAGAGUGUUCGGCGCCCCCCUGCAAACUCUAAAUUUGCACCCUCACAUACUUUACAAACGCACAGCGCACAUAAUGACCACUGUAGAAGAGACAUUUACACAUGUAAUGCCCCCUGUACCAGAGACGCUUACACACGAAACGCCCCCUGUACCAGAGACGCUUACACAUGUAAUGCCCCCUGUACCAGAGACGCUUACACAUGUAAUGCCCCCUGAACCAGUGACGCUUACACAAGCAACACCCCCUUUAGCAGUGACGCUUACACAUGUAACGCCCCUGAACCAGUGACGCUUACACAAGCAACACCCCCUUUAGCAGUGACGCUUACACAUGUAACGCCCCUGAACCAGUGACGCUUACACACGUAAUGCCCCCUGUAGCAGUGACGCUUACACACGUAAUGCCCCCUGAACCAGUGACGCUUACACAUGUCACGCCCCCCCUGUACCAGUGACGCUUACACAAGCAACACCCCCUUUAGCAGUGACGCUUACACAUGUAACGCCCCUGAACCAGUGACGCUUACACACGUAAUGCCCCCUGUAGCAGUGACGCUUACACACGUAAUGCCCCCUGUAGCAGUGACGCUUACAGACGUAUCGCCCUCUGUACCAGUGCCGCUUAGACACGUAACGCCCUCUGUACCAGUGCCGCUUAGACACGUAACGCCCCCUGUACCAGUGCCGCUUACACACGUAAUGCCCCCUGUACCAGUGACGCUCACACACGUAACGCCUCCUGUACCAGUGACGCUUACACACAUUAUGCAGCAGUCACACAUACACACACACACACACACACACACACACACACACCAGACACAUAUAUACAAACACACACACAUACAUACUGCACAUACAUUACACACAUACACAGUCACACAUAUAUACAGUAUACACAGACACUGUAUAUACACACACACACUCACUCUCUUUCCAGACACUUAUCUAAUGAAGUCUGGCUGGCCGAAGCUGUAGCAUCUCAUCCUCCUGCUGCAGCAUGGUCCCGUGUAGCUCCGCCCCUUACUCCCAUCUAGCUCCUCCCACUUUAGCUCCCUCCCAGACACUGAAUGUCACACAGGGGAGGGGAGUGGAGAGAGGAGGCUUUGUGCUGCCGGCGCCGGGGGGAGAAAAGGUUUUGUGCUUCCGGCGCCGCUGCAUGUGUGAUAGCAGCCGGCAGCAGCAGGGAUAGCAGCAGCAGCUCAGCACAGGGAUGCAGAGCAGGGAGAACGUCUCUCCUUCCAGGUGCCUCCCUGCACUGCAUCCCUUUGCUGAGCGACUAGCGCCGGGCCUGUGUGCAGUGUCACUGACACUGCACAGCACUCCCACCUUUUACAUUGAUUCAGCCAGUCAUACAGUUCUGCCAGCCAGUCACUAUUGUUAUCACCAGUGUCCCAACGCGCCGCAUUACAGGGAAGUAGACGCACUACAUAAACUACAGCUCCCAGCAGCCCUUAGCGCCGAAGCAUUCCACCCCUUAGGGCUGCUGGGAGCUGUAGUUUAUUGCGUACAUCAUCGCCCACCCGCAGCGUCCCCGCACCCGUACCUCCCGCCGCACCACUGCAUCCGCCCCUCCCCCACCCGGGGCAACCCCGCAACUGCUCCUCCCCCACCCGCAGCGGCUCUGGACCACCACCCGCGGCACCCAUGCACCCUCCCCCACCUGCGGUACCACCGCAACCGCCCCUCCCAUGGCACCCCAGAAUCCCAUCCGCCUCUUCCCCGCACCCCCUACUCCCCCAACCAAAGCACCUACUAGGUGAUUCACCAGGCCCUGCGUGCGCUGUUCACCCCGUUGCAAGGGGCUUCCACCCCUUAACCAUUGCACGCCCCUUUGUUCGUGCAAUAUUUAACCACUCACACAAUUAUGAUUGGAUGUAAUACUCCAUAUAAUAAAAAUAAUGCAUGCCACAAGGGUGUGCAAGGGUUAAGGGGGCGUAGCCCCUUACGACAGUGUGAAGAGCGCCCAUAGGGCGCGAUGAAUCACCUAGUAAACAUAUAUUACACAUGCAGCAAUUGAAAUUUAAUGCUGAAUUGAACACAAUAAACAGAGGUCGAAUAUUUGCAUUUCAAGGGAAGUUAUGCUACUUUCAGUCAGACAGAAGCACAAAUGCGUGAGAUUCAAGAAGCAGAUUGUAGUAACAGCUACUACCAGCCAAUCAGAAUCAUCGUUCUGAGGGCCAAUCAGCUGUCGUUUAUGAGCAGGUGCAAGGUCAUGUUCAAAGGUGGGAAAGGUCAGUUUGGCUGUUUUAUUUUGCAGAAUAAAGUUGGUUACUGAAGUGCAA